ACAGGAUUAUUCUUUAUAGCUUGCUAUGAUAACAAUUAGUGGCAGACGGGUGAGUAAUGCAUAGGAAUCUACCUAGUAGUAUGGGAUAGCCACUAGAAAUGGUGGGUAAUACUGUAUAAUCCCUGCGGGGGAAAGAUUUAUCGCUAUUAGAUGAGCCUAUGUUAGAUUAGCUAGUUGGUAGGGUAAAGGCCUACCAAGGCAGUGAUCUAUAGCUGGUCUGAGAGGAUGAUCAGCCACACUGGAACUGAGAUACGGUCCAGACUCCUACGGGAGGCAGCAGUGGGGAAUAUUGGACAAUGGGCGCAAGCCUGAUCCAGCUAUGCCGCGUGAGUGAGGAAGGCCUUAGGGUUGUAAAACUCUUUCAGUGGGGAAGAUAAUGACGGUACCCACAGAAGAAGUCCCGGCAAACUCCGUGCCAGCAGCCGCGGUAAUACGGAGGGGGCAAGCGUUGUUCGGAAUUAUUGGGCGUAAAGGGCAUGUAGGCGGUUCGGUAAGUUAAAGGUGAAAUGCCAGGGCUUAACCCUGGAGCUGCUUUUAAUACUGCC
rnacentral:rRNA from 1 species